rnacentral:lncRNA from 1 species
AUUUUAUAAUAAUGUUAGCAAAUCAAAUAAAAUGGACAGUAUGUAAUCAAAGGAUCACCUAUGAACAUAUUAACAAUUCUUAUUUUGUAUAUAAUAAAAAUAAUUACGAUCGACAGAUAUUUUAUAUUUGUAGAGAAAUACAAAAAGCGUUAUUGCAAGCUUGUUACAAUGAUCAAUCAAACCAAAUAAACCAAACAAACCAAACAAAUCAAACAAACCAAACAAAUCAAUCAAACCAAACAAAUCAAUCAAACCAAACAAAUCAAUCAAACCAAACAAAUCAAAUACAUUAUGAUAACUUCGAUAAACAAAUUAAUCAAGUUAAAAAUUUAAAAAAAAGAGGUUUAUUAAAACAUUUUACUGUUACUCAAAGUUGUCCUGGUACAUUCAGAUAUGGUAGAGAAAAAUCUGAUAACAUAGAUAAAGAGCUUAAAAAUAUAAUACAAAUACCAAUUAGAACCUAUCAGAGUGAUAAUUUAAUAAAACAACACACAUACUAUGAUUUACCAAUAACUACAAAAAAUAAUAAAAUUUUAAAUGGUGAAGAACAAGAAGUUGGUAACAGUAUAUAUUAUACUAACGAAAAUAAUAAACAUGAACAGAUUUAUAAAGCAAUGGAACAAACUUAUUAUAAUAGAAACAUAAAUGAACAAAAUAUAAAACAAACAAACGUUAAUGUAGUAAGUGACGAAACAACAGAUACUUUCAUUAAAACAUAUACUCUCCCAAAAAAUGUAAAUGAAACUUGUGAACAUGAAAAUCAUAUAUAUGAUAUUGCGAAACACCCAGAAAAGAAUACUCUUUUACCAAAGUUAAACGAAUUUAUUAAUAAACAAACUACCUUUACAUCUCCAUUAUAUAUAACUGAUGAAAAUGAUAAAAUAACUACUAGGGACGAUAAAACAAAAACAGAGCAACAUGACUUACAGAACAAUAUAAUUAAUCUGCAAAACACAAACUAUGACACAACUCUAACAAACGAUAUUCUUGAGAAAGAUGUUUUAACUUUCAAUAAAAAGCAAAAAAGUCAAACUGGGUUGUUUUAUGUGGACAAAAAUAUACCUGCGGAUGAACCGGAUUAUGUUGAAGCGGAUAUAAAGGAAAAGAGGGUAGAGCAGGAGGUAGAGCAGGAAGUAGAACAGGAAGUAGAACAG